rnacentral:rRNA from 1 species
UUCAGCGACAAUAGCGCAAUGGAACCACCUGAUCCCAUGUCGAACUCAGAAGUGAAACGUUGUAGCGCCGAUGGUAGUGUGGGGUCUCCCCAUGUGAGAGUAGGUCAUUGCUGAGC